AGUAAGGUAUGCUACAACGAAUACGAAGAAAUAUCGGCUACUCCCCCCAUUUUUUCAUUCCGCUUUCGCUACGAUGAUUGAGAACUGCCACCAACCGGUAAUCUUUUGAAUCUCUCUUUUCCUUCCUUCUUUAGUAAUAUUUAUUUUCAAACAAAAGAGCAACUUUGUGAAAGAGUAUUUGUUACCGAAUAAAGAAGUUGACAAAGAAUAUUUGUCAGCAAACAAAGGAUAAAGGGCUUCUAAAGAUAUAAAUGAAUAAAAGCAUAAAUGCACAAUGUGGCAUGAGCAUAAGAAGAAACUAUGACUUGGUAUGUAUAAUUUUCUAUAUAACGAAUCGCGCAGCAUAUCUGUGCGUAACAGUAGUUAUUAUUAUUAUUACAUGCCAUAUCAACAAGGAUUAUCCCGCUUCUUCAGCAAUCGGACGACACAUCGAUAUCGGCACAUGUUUGUUAGUUAAAUAUACAUAUAGAGUGUUUCAGAAUAGGUGAUACAACCAGGCAGGAGCUUAUUCUACGUAAGUCGAAACCCUUAUGCAAUCGCUUGUGACAACACGUGUUAAGUUCACGAUGAUGUCGAAAGAAGACAAAGCGUUUUUUUUUUCUUUUUUCUAUUUUCUUAGAGAAGUUAUUCGCAGAACUUAAGGAUCGUAUAUACACUUUCCAGAGCAUUUUGGUUCGGUUGAGAUAAGGCUGAGAUGAAAUAAAUAUUUGGUCGAAGCCGCGAGAGCUACUAAGGCAUUCUCAAGGUCAUCUUUCCACUCUUAGUAGAAGUCAAUCCCCAGGGAAUCUUUUGCGAAGUUCAAACACCUACGGUGUCAGUUUUCGCAACAGGAUAAAUUUUGGUUGUACAGCACGUACUUCGAGUCUGAUAAGAUAUAUUACUCUGUUAAUGAUAUAGUCGGAUAAUUCCUUGAUAAGAAUCGAAAGACUACGGUACAAAGUUUAUAAAAGUUUUCGAAAGCAAUAAAAAAAUAUUAUCGAUGAUUAAUUUAAGAAUUCGAGUCUCGCGGAAGUAUUGAUAUUUAAAAAUAUUCGAUUUUAUUUUCGAAUCACCGAAAAUAGACAUUUUAUGACAAAGUAUCAUUAUCUAAUAGAUCGUGCAAUAUGUGAGAAGGAAACACCGAAAUUAAUUGGAUAUGCUAAUAUGCAAUUUAUAGUAAACUUAGAAGUAGAAAAUAUAUGCAAAUAGAAACAGCAGGCAAAUUAUAAAAACGAACGAGGAAGUAUGCAAAACAAUUUCGCUAGUUUGUACAAAGUGAAGUGAAAAUUAAAGCAAUUUGCAUAGAAACAGCAUACCAUCGUUUAGGAAAAUGUGAUAGUAAUUGCUAUGCAGUAAUAAGGUUAAGAAUAACACUAGCUUGAAAACAUAGUAAAAACCAACAUUGUAUCAAAGAAAUAUUAUUACUUUCUUAUUUAUAUUCAUAACUCAUUUAUUAUACGAGCUCGUAAUAAUAAAUGAUGUUUUAUUGCCUUCUAUAUUUAUCACCUAUAAAAAGAGCGUGGAGUUAAUAACCUAAACACUUGGCUUGUUUAUUUAUGCAUACUGCCACAGAUUAUAUAAUCAUCAACUUAUUAAUGAUUGGUCAAAUAUACUGUCAAUUACUUAAUUGGUGAAAUAUUUGUUUUAUAAUUCAUUUGUAUGUAGAUUUCCGUGUAUGUAAUUUUUAUUACAUACAAUCUAUACAAUUACACUGCAAAUAUUAAGUUUGCAGCAAUAACCAUGUACAAUAUAUUUUAUUAUAUAUGUAUUAUUAUUAAUCAAUUUCAGUGGUUUAGAAUUGGUUCCAAUGUUAAAGUUUAAUAUUUGUUAUGUCAAUCAAUUAUCUAUGUCUCUAAUUCUGAUCUAAGUAGUCCAAUUUAUAAAUCCUCUUAUUAUAUGAUAUUUCGCAUUUUAGAAAAUUAUAUGAAUUUAAUAAAUUUAUGUGAUAAAUUUAUCAUAGUAAAAUUCAAAUAUCCAGAACUAUUUCCUUUUUCAUGUUAUCUAUACAUCAUACAAAUAAAAUAAUAUAAAAUAUAAAAUUUGCACUCCCUGUGAAAACAAGUCGGAAACAUAGAAUAUGAUUUAUUCGUAGAAUCGUCCACUCCUGAAAAAAUGGCGUUUGAAAAUUUGUCAAGUACGCGUUUUAUCACGCAAAUUCUAAAACAAUUAUGCGAAAAUUUAAAAUACGCAAAUAGAGAAGUACGUUGUAUGAGCUAUGACUCUUGAAAGUCCAAGAAGCGAGUGAAUAUGCAUACAUAUAUAUUAAUGCACAUUAUUAGAUAUUACUUUAUUUACAUAUUCAAGUAUUCCUUUUCAACGUCAAAUAAUCACUCGAAUGAAGUAUAGUUUCCAGUUAAAUGAAAUAAAUCAACUGCUUAUGUAUAAGUAUCGUAGAAAAUAAAAAUUCCAAUAACAAAUUACAUUACGUUUGAUACAUCACUUUUUAGAAGUCAAGCUGAUUAACUAUUUGUUUGGUUAUGGGAGGAUCUAUAGUAAAUAAUUCACUUCUAAAAUUUGAAUUUGUCUCUUCUCUUUGUUCCUCGAAAAAUUCGAUAAGACAAAUCCUUCACAAUUCGAAGAUUGUAGCUCUUCCCUUGAGAUUAGAGUUCGAUAUACGUACGUAUGAUAUAUUCGAUUUAUAUAUACGCACAUAUGAUAUAAUUCUUAUAACGAAUUAUGUCAUACUUAUAUAUAUUUGGAAAAAUUACAAUCGGUACUUAAAAUUGGUUUGCAUUCAUUAUCUUUUAAUUUCACGAUUGUAAAAGUUUUUAAUUAAAGAACAGUUCGAUUAUUAGGUUAAAGAUCAAUAUUAUACGUGGUACUCAUUUCAUAUGUAAAAUAAUCCAUAAUGACAUGUAUUAAGCAUACCGCUGUACAGUGACCUCUAUUGAAUUGUAAUGUUAUAUUUAUUUAGGAGUAGUGUUAUUAAAUUUGUUAUUUGUCGUUUUUUGUAAUGUAUUAACAUUUCCUUAAUAUUUGAAAAGCAUUUGUACCACUCUGGACGAGUAGUGACGUUACACAGUGUCUAUAUAGAUUUCUGUCUCUAUCGUUCCAUGUAUUCUAGUAUAACUUAUUAUCAGUGUUAUAAAGCUUCUUAUAAUUAUUUCAAAAUUUUGCGGAACGCAAACGAAAUAAGAUAAUUUUUUAUAAAAAACCUGUCGUACAAUUAAAUUAUGAAGAAAUUCUGUACGUAUUUUUAAGCUACAAUAAAUAGUAUUUAUAAUGAUUUAGAAGUAUUGAAAUACUUAUAAUCGACAGUGCAUGUCAAAGCGCGGGCACACUAGUCUUCGAAAGUUCAACUAAAAGUCGCCAGAUGUCUCGUAGGAGGCGCCAAACUUAGCGUCUACGAAAUCUUUUCUAUUUUCUUUAUUAUUAUCAUAUGGCUUGGAUGACUAUUCUUCUACAUUUACCAGCGCGAAAAUAUUGCAUCAGAGUAUUGGUAUUAUCUGCACUAAUGCGAUUUUCAAACAAUACGAAGUUAACUUAGUACCCAGAAUUCUUGCUUCUUUUGCUUUCUAUAAUAACGAAUAAUGGCGGGAAUAAUCGUUGCAAACUCACUUCCCAAGAAAUUUAAGGGAAAUUAGCUUUCAACUAGAUUAGAAAUUAGAAUAUCUGCUUCUUUUGCUUUCUUCAAUAAUACAUAACGAUUAAAAGCUAAUAAUGUGUUCAUAGGAUGCAUCAUCAUAAAUUAUGUACACAUCAUGUAUUAAAAAAUGUAUUGAAAUACAUAUUUCUUUGUAAAAAUAAUACGUGUAAGAAUAUAUUGCAGAUAUAGUACGUAUUAAUGAAUUCUUAUAAUACAGCUGUAUUAUUUCUUUAAUUAUUGAAAAUGCGGAAAAAUGUUUUAUAUAUAAUGGUAAUAUUGACAAAUAUAUCUUGCAUUUUGUUAUAAAUUCACUGUUUCUUUUUCAAUAUGCCACAGUUUAUACAAUUUUAAAAAUGCUUAAUUUUUGCCUAUUAAAAAUAAGCUUUAACUUUUAAAUUAAAAGAAUUUUAUACAUUCUAUACAUCAACACAACAUACAUAAAGUAUAUUUUUUGUAGUACGCUGUAAGUUAUUUGUGUAGCGUGUUAUAAUACUCUCAGGAAUGACAAAUAAAACGUUCAGAAAUCGAGCGGAAUUAUUUACGAAACGUGGGGCUUAGAAUGACUGGCGUCCGGUGUAUCAUAUUCGAUACAGAUAUUAUGUUAUUAAAGUGGUAACUUGUUAAUGUUUGCUUUUUCUUAUGAGUAGCUUUUUUUUAGCUUAGUUAAAGUAGCUAACAAGCAAAUGAAAUAACUAAAGUUUCGUAAUUAUAUAAAUUAUAUGAAAAUAAAUCAUAUGCAAUUUUUCAUUUAUUUACGUAUACGUAUAUAUUACGUAUAUAUACAAUGUAGGUUCUGAACAGCAAAUUGACAGUACGUGGGAGAUUUUAAACAAAUUUAUGAGUCUAAUAUCUAGCAGGUUUUCCCCUCGGUGAAUAUACUCUAGUCUCAUCAUACCAAGGGGGAAAUCAUUAAUUUACACCGAUAGGUAAUAUCAAAUAAUAUUUUUUUAGAACUCAUUUUCGAAGUGGAAGAAUUUGAUACUCUAUGAAAAUAAAAUGGCAAAUCUGAUAAAAAAAAAAAAAAACACUUCAUUGGAAAAUAAGAAUAUGUAUUGUAUAUAUCUUUCAGAGUAUAGGUAGUAAUUUGCACAUGCAGAAACUCGUUAGAAUUUGAUUUUCUAAGUUUACAGUUAUCUAAGAGCGACAGUAUAUUAAAUCUUUAACUUUUUUUUGAUGUCAAUCGCAACUCUGCAGGAUGAAAAUUUUAUUUUUCAAAGGAAGAUUCUAUAUAAGGUUGUAUAUGCUAAAACUGUCAAGGUUAUCUAUCUUAUUAUUUGAAACCAGCUAUUUUUUUAAUUUUUAAUAAUCAAAUGCUAUAAUAUUCAAAUUUAAUAUUCAAAUGGCCGAAAACUAACCAACUUAAGUCUUACUAUAGCGCCGAUAAAAUUUCAAGCGAUAAAUAAUUCUAUCGCUGUCGGUGACAUCUUUAAUUAUAAACUGUACAUAAAUAAAUAAAUAAAUAUAUAUAUAUAUAUAUAUAAUAUAAAUAUUGAAAAUAUAUAUAAUAAUCGUCGAUAUAAACGUUGAAAAAUUAUAAUACAAAUUCACAAACGACGAACGACAACUCUGUAUUGUUAAAGACUAUGUGCUUAAAGGCUCGUUUACAAUUAUUAUCUUAAUUUAUUCCGUGGUAUACCUCACAUAAUAUUUCACACCACGACCCACUUUUCCUAAUCACUCUCUGCCUCCUUUCUCUUUUUUCACUGCGCUAACAGCCUUUAAACAUCCAGACACACUUUUCUCGCAUUUUCCAUUCAAAAUUUUAUCCACCUCUAGAGAAAAUAUUCAUUUUGAACGAUAACCUACAUCGUGACACGUAGUUCAUUUUCAUUUUCUUACGCAGCUCACUUAUCAAUACGAUUAUUGCUAUUCCUAUAAUUAUUACGUUUCUAUAAAUAAUUGAAUUCUUGCUUCUUUCGUGCGUCGUUCUAAAUGUAUAUUAUCUUGAAAUCUGAAACUCGAUAUCGAUACAUCGGGAGUUAUUUUUAGGACUAUGAUUUUACCGAAGAAUAUUUUAAGUGAAAGUUGAACGGUUCCGGCGGGACAUAAUUUAACGUAUUAUGGGUGUCUUUUUUGUCGGAGGAUGCGUGGAACUCGUACAAAGGUCAAGUUCGUUUCUGUAAACGGUGCUAUAUUUCUCUUUACAUAUUUAUGUGUACAUAUUAUAUUUAUCGAUUCUUCGGAACAUUCUACGUGAAAGAGAAAUUAAGGCGGAAUAUUUCAAAAAUUAACAAUUCAUAAGAUUUCGUAAUAUGUUUUAACGUAGAACGCAUCGAAGAAUCUAUAUGUGCAAGAAAGAAAACGCAAUAACAACUUAAAAACUUGACAUAUACGCGUGUCCUCUGUGCAUCCUCCUACGGAAAAAUUAAUCGCGUCAAAUUACGUUCCCCUCGAAACCAUCCAACUUUUAUUUGAAACAUUUCUCGACCAGUAAUCGAAGUGGUUUCAAUUACGCGUCAAUUACACGCGUUCCAAUUAGGUUUAUCUAUCGGCAUAUGAAAAAAAGUGAAAGUAACAAAAUUUCUGAACUGAAUCUCAUCAAUCUCAAUGCGAACGUUGAACAUUUAUGUAAAUGUGUUUGAUAAAUCGAAAUAUAUUCUAAUAAAAUGAAGUUAAGGAAAAUGAGUUGCUUAUCAUAUAGAAUAAUUUAUCGCAAAAUAUGUUAAAUCUGUUAUUAAUAAGAUAGAUAAUAUAUAUGUAUCUACAUUAAUGUCACACUUAAUGGAAUUUACGAUAGCUUCGAGCUGAUAGUAAAAAUACUACUAUUAUCGUAAAGAUAGUAUUUUCCAAAGGACGAAUUUCACUGAAAGAAGGCCUCAUUUCCAAAAGAAUUCGUUUUGAAAAUUGGAAACAAUUUGAUGAUCAUCAAUUGCCCUUGAGUAACGCUUGUUUCACUAUCUAUCGUUAGGAAUAACGUUUCCAAAUUGACGCUAAUGUGGAAAUAGAAAAUGUCUGCCGGAGACAAUUGAAAGUACGACGGGAGUCAAAUGCGCUAAACCGACCAAUAAAAUUCGUUUUCUCCUUCUCUUUCCUCGUUGCAAGUUAACGCAAUGAAAUUGUAUAUUGCUGGAAAGUUAAAAUACCGAUAUGCUUUACAGUUGCGAGUAACGACUCAACUAUAACUUCUUUUCGAUGACUAUAAAUUAUUCUUGGGAGGCUUAUCGCAAUUACAAAGAUAGAUACGCACAUUAAUUGGAAACGCCACAAUGCGAUAGCGGCCCAAGUCUCCUCGUACGAAAAUUGUCUCUUUUUCUUAACCCAUUGUAUGUAAUAGCCAGCGUUGUUAUAACUGGUAAAGGAACGAAAGAAGGAUAGAGAUAUAAACCACGGUGUUGAUAUCCGACAUGCAUGAGUUACAGGACACACAUAUAAAAAUUGAUAUACAUUCGUAUGACGUUGAAGUUCACGUAAGGUGACAUCAAAAAUAUUAUUCUUAAAAAUAUAUGAUAUUUCAUUCUGACAUGUUUUCUCCUCCAGGUUUAGAUCUUUAGAGUUUUGGCAGCUGAAGUUACAAAAAAAUUGUUUACCUGUUACAUAACUUGUAGCUAUAAACAAUUCUGGAUUUCGAUUAAAUUAAUUUAAUCUAUUUGCAUCCAAUAUGCUAAGUAUGCUAAAUAUUCAUCAGAUGUGGAAGAUCACGUUUGACCGGUUUAUCAGUUUAUUGUAUCCACCAUUUUAAAGAAUUCCACGAGAAAUGAUAUGAUUUAAUUUCUUAUUUCUAUUCUUUUUUAAAUAAAUAUUUUUUUCUUUUUUCCUCUGUUAUAAUCCACCAAUCGUUCUGAACAGUAAAUUUUCGAUAAACUCCACGAAGAAUUUGGAUGUCAUUUACUGCACCUAUUAUACUUAUCUAUAAUAAGUACUAACUUAUUAUAAAUAAUUAGCCAUGUUACCGCGCCACGCCGGAAAAAUUACUGAAAAUUCUCAACGCGAGAAUUGAUUGUAAUUUUAAUAAAUAUUUAAAAAAAAAAAAAAAAUUA